GGGGUCUUAGCUCAGCUGGGAGAGCAUCUGCCUUACAAGCAGAGGGUCAUAGGUUCGAUGCCCUCUAGGCCCCA
rnacentral:tRNA from 1 species